ensembl:lncRNA novel transcript, antisense to DSCR3
GAGGCGGAGCCGAGCCUGUCUGUCGGUUGCAGCCUGCGCAGGAAGGAUGACGCUCCCGUCAGGCUGUGCGGCGCAGACGGUCGCCCAAUGGAGUUGUCUUUCAGGAGGUUUUAACUUGAUGGUGUGUCCGGAAUUGGUGGGUUCUUGGUCUCACUGACUUCAAGAAUGAAGCCGCGGACCCUCAAGGUGUUACAGCUCUUAAGGUUGCGCGUCUGGAGUUUGUUCCUUCUGAUGUUCGGAUGUGUUUGGAGUUUCUUCCUUCUGGUGGGUUCGUAGUCUCGCUGGCUCAGGAGUGAAGCUGCAGACCUUCACGGUUAAGAUGAAAGAUCUCAGAAGCUGCAGAAGUGCUUAGAUGCACCCACAGAAAACCACCGGAUCCAGCUAACUCACUCUUGUGAUUGGAAAGAAGCAUAUUCUGGUGAAGCAAAAGAUUUCUAUCUCCAGAAUAAUGCAGAAAGCAUUUUUACCUACCAAGCCACAACAAACCAGUGAAAGAACAUUUAGAUUUCCAGAGUCCAUCGGCAAUACAAAAGUCACCUAAAGAAUAAUGCCAGAGGCAUAUCUUCUCUUGUAGGUUGUAAAUUCCUUGAAAACGAGAACUGCUCAACUUCCCAUCUCCUACGACACCCAGCACACAGUUGAUGCUGGAAUUUCUUUUUAAUGAAUGAAACACACAAAUCAUUGCUUUAAACCCUGGAAUUGUGCCCUUUUCAAAAGAAGCACUUAAUAGACAUGUGUCUAAUUUCCUGUGCUGUCACAAAUAUUAUUUAAUCACACUGUUAAAAAUAAAGAACUCUGGGGCCCAUGAACUACAUUCUCCAGGCCAUUAGCUGCUCUUUCCACUUUGGGCCUCUCAGCUGUGCAGCCGGAAAUGGAUCGUGGGGAGAGGAGCUGCCACUCUUCUGCAAAUAUCCUGGAAUCUUGGCUAUGUCAGGAAGUGUUUGGAGAAUGCCUUGGAAGCUGAGAAAGUGUUUCCAAAGCAGCAUGCACACGAAGAUAUUUGAACCAGAGAACGUCCACUCUGAAAUAGAUGCAUGGAGUGCAUUCACAGAAUAUCACGUUUUUCUGAAGUUUAAAAGCUACAGCCCAGUACUCUGAACCCAAGAAUUAAGAGAGUUAAGAGAGCAAAUCAAGACAUGAAAAUGAUCCCCCCGUGGAAUAUGCCCCUGCUAUUGAGAGAAUAAACUACUGAUCUACGCAACAGCAUGGAUGAAUCUCAGAGACAUUUUGCUAACUGAGAGAAGUCAGACACAGAAGACAUAGUCAAUGAUUCCAUGUGUAUGAAAUUUCUAGAAAAGGCAAAACUAUAGAGACAGAAUGGCUGAUCAAUGUUGUGGCUGAUCAAAUCGAGGCACAGAAUGAUCAAUGGUUGCCUGGAGCUGCGGGUGGGAACAGGAGUGACCUCAAAGGAGCAAGGGGAACUUUUGGGGGUGGAUGGGAAUAUUGGGAAACUGGACUGUGAUGGUUGCUAAGUGCGUCAGUUCACGGAAACCUAUCACACUGUACCCUCACAAUGAGUGACGUUUAUGGUUUGUAAGUUAGACCUCAAUAAAGCUGUUUGUAAUCAUUUUA